UCUUAACUUAAGAGGCAACUCUUAACUGGCCAUCCAGGGAAAAGUCGAGAGACCUAAGCCUGGAGGGCAGAAAACCCUGCAAAGUAGUGCUAAACAUGUGGGGUGGCCGGUUCGGCGGUAGCAACUUCAACGACGGACCUA
rnacentral:sRNA from 10 species